rnacentral:rRNA from 1 species
UACGGAGGGUGCAAGCGUUAUCCGGAUUCACUGGGUUUAAAGGGUGCGUAGGCGGCUCGAUAAGUCAGUGGUGAAAGCUUCCAGCUUAACUGGGAAACUGCCAUUGAAACUGUCAAGCUUGAGUACAAUUGAAGUGGGCGGAAUACAUCAUGUAGCGGUGAAAUGCUUAGAUAUGAUGUAGAACACCGAUUGCGAAGGCAGCUCACUAAAUUGUCACUGACGCUGAGGCACGAAAGCGUGGGUAGCGAACAGG